rnacentral:rRNA from 1 species
GACGAACGCUGGCGGCGUGCCUAACACAUGCAAGUCGAGCGAUGACAUCCCUUCGGGGAUGGAUUAGCGGCGGACGGGUGAGUAACACGUGGGCAACCUACCUCAAAGUGGGGGAUAGCCUCCCGAAAGGGAGAUUAAUACCGCAUAACAUUAGUUUUUCACAUGAAGGACUAAUUAAAGGAGUACUCCGUUUUGAGAUGGGCUCGCGGCGCAUUAGCUAGUUGGUGAGGUAAUGGCUCACCAAGGCGACGAUGCGUAGCCGACCUGAGAGGGGGAUCGGCCACAUUGGAACUGAAGCACGUUCCAGACUCCUACGGGAGGCAGCAGUGGGGAAUAUUGCACAAUGGGGGAAACCCUGAUGCAGCAACGCCGCGGGAGUGAUGAAGGUCUUCGGAUUGUAAAGCUCUGUCUUUUGGGACGAGAAUGACGGUACCAAAGGAGGAAGCCACGGCUAACUACGUGCCAGCCGCCGCAGUAAAAC